rnacentral:rRNA from 1 species
GACGAACGCUGGCGGCGUGCUUAACACAUGCAAGUCGAACGGAAAGGCCCUGCUUUUGUGGGGUGCUCGAGUGUCGAACGGGUGAGUAACACGUGAGUAACCUGCCCUUGACUUUGGGAUAACUUCAGGAAACUGGGGCUAAUACCGGAUAGGAGCUCCUGCUGCAUGGUGGGGGUUGGAAAGUUUCGGCGGUUGGGGAUGGACUCGCGGCUUAUCAGCUUGUUGGUGGGGUAGUGGCUUACCAAGGCUUUGACGGGUAGCCGGCGUGAGAGGGUGACCGGCCACAUUGGGACUGAGAUACGGCACAGACUCAUACGGGAGGAAGCAGUGGGGAAUAUUGCACAAUGGGCGGAAGCCAGAUGCAGCAACGCAGCGUGCGGGAUGACGGCCUUCGGGUUGUAAACCGCUUUCGCCUGUGACGAAGCGUGAGUGACGGUAAUGGGUAAAGAAGCACCGGCUAACUCCGUG